AAACUACUUACAAAGAGUAGAAAAAUCUACUCAAAUGUUGACUAAACUUGGUGUAAAUAUUAGCUCACAACAAAUAAAAACAGACACAGUUCAAGAGGAAAAAUGCUGUUUAUUAAUAUAGGCUGAAAUAAUCUCCAUAGCACAUGGAAAGACUUUUUCGGUGCAAGUCCUCAACGAUCACAUUCUAUUAAAAGGAUAUUUCACACAAAAAUGAAAUUGUCAUCAUUUACUCACCUUCAUGUUGUUCCAAACCUGUAUAAACUUCUCUCUUCUGUUUGAACACAGAAGAAGAUAUUUUGAAGAAUGUAGGUAACCAGUUGUUGGUAUCUCUAUAGUAUAGUGAGAGAAAAAACAACAACAAUAAAAAAAGUAAACUAAGGAAGUACAAUAGGCUACCAGUAACAUUUUUACUAAAAUAAUCUUCUUUUGUUGUUCUACCAGAGGAAAGAAACUCGUACAGAUCUGGAACAACCUGAGAGUAUCCAUUUAUGGGUAAGGAAAAAACAAUUUAAAAGCCAGCAACAUUGUUAAAUCUCAGUACAGUCUUGUUCUUAAUAUCUGAACAAUAAAGAGAAACAGUUAAAUUCCCUUUCACAACCCAUCGUUCCAUUUAAACACCAGAAUGUCAGAGAUCUGCAUAAACCCACAGUGCUUGGUUGAUGAUGAUCCUUGGUUGAAAGACAGAGCAUGGUGAUGACACUUUCUGCUGAUUAAAAUGAAAACUCAUACAAAGAAACUGGAAAUCCCCCUACCCACCAAAAAGACCCUUGUAUCCUUGUAAGAAUAGUGUGUCUGGACAUACUGUCCCCCUCAAACUUGUGCAUAGAUUCUUAUUCCUUUCACAACAUCUUAUUUCUGCAUCUAGUGUUAAACCUAGAUGGAGAAUUAACUUGGAGUAUUUUCAUCCUACACUCAAAAACUAGUAAGAAGUUCUGGUAAGAGUUCAAGUUCUGUGUUAAUCUACAAUUCUCAGGCCUUUGCAUACAGGCCUCUACUAAAUUUUUAAAACAAGUAAAGACAAGAGGAUGGAAUAUCAAGCAUCUUUUACUGGACCUCGUUGAGAAACAUCAGGCAAGGUAAAAUCAAACAGUGGUAGGUCCUUCCACAACCUAACCAAUAAACAAAACUGUAUUUGUACAUAAAGCGACAGAUACAAACAAACAUAUUUCAAAUGGAAAGUACUCCACUUCAAGAAAUAUAACGCAUAGGUUCACUACAAAUCUAAUAUUUGGUAAAUGUGUAUCUGCUACGGAUUAAAAUUCAAAAAGACAUUUUUAAAUCCAUAACCUUCAGUGCUUAAAGCUGGAUUUCUAUCAACAUCUUUUUUCUUCUUUC
rnacentral:lncRNA from 1 species